GCGAAUGUAGCUCAGUUGGUUAGAGCAUCAGGUUGUGGUUCUGAGGGUCGCCGGUUCGAUCCCGGUCAUUCGCCCCA
rnacentral:tRNA from 1 species